rnacentral:snRNA from 1 species
GGAUGUGAGGGCGAUCUGGCCGUGACAUCUGUCACCCCAUUGAUCACCAGGGUUGAUUCAGCUCAUAUGGCUGGCUAGGUGGGUUUCUCUUUCUUCUCUCACCACUCCAUGCAUGUCCCUCCCAAAGUUACACACUUGGUCAAAGAAAAUGACCUUCCCCUAGUAGAGGAGGACUGGUCUUGUGCUCCCCUGCUAGAACCUUCACACAAGCUCUCAAGAACAUGUUCUACAAAUGGAAUCAGAGUAUAUGUAGUCUCUUGAGAUUUGCUU